rnacentral:rRNA from 1 species
GACGAACGCUGGCGGCGUGCUUAACACAUGCAAGUCGAACGGUGAAGCGCUUUCCUUUUUGGUUGGUGUGGAUGAGUGGCGAACGGGUGAGUAACACGUGAGUAACCUGCCCCCUUCUUCUGGAUAACCGCAUGAAAGUGUGGCUAAUACGGGAUAUUCUGCGCCUGCUGCAUGGUGGGUGUGGGAAAGAUUGUGCCUUUGGGUGUUUUCGGUGGGGGAUGGGCUCGCGGCCUAUCAGCUUGUUGGUGGGGUGAUGGCCUACCAAGGCGGUGACGGGUAGCCGGCCUGAGAGGGUGGACGGUCACACUGGGACUGAGACACGGCCCAGACUCCUACGGGAGGCAGCAGUGGGGAAUAUUGCACAAUGGGCGCAAGCCUGAUGCAGCGACGCCGCGUGAGGGAUGGAGGCCUUCGGGUUGUGAACCUCUUUCGCCAGUGAAGCAGGCCUGCUCCUUGUGGGUGGGUUGACGGUGGCUGGAUAAGAAGCGCCGGCUAACUACGUG